rnacentral:rRNA from 1 species
UACGUAGGUGGCAAGCGUUGUCCGGAUUUACUGGGCGUAAAGGAUGCGUAGGCGGAUUUUUAAGUGAGAUGUGAAAUUCCUGGGCUUAACUUGGGAGCUGCAUUUCAAACUGGAAGUCUAGAGUGCGGGAGAGGAAAGUGGAAUUCCUAGUGUAGCGGUGAAAUGCGUAGAGAUUAGGAAGAACACCAGUGGCGAAGGCGACUUUCUGGACCGUAACUGACGCUGAGGCAUGAAAGCGUGGGUAGCAAACAGGAUUAGAUACCCUGGUAGUCCACGCCGUAAACGAUGAGUACUAGGUGUAGGAGGUAUCGACCCCUUCUGUGCCGCAGUUAACACAAUAAGUACUCCGCCUGGGAAGUACGAUCGCAAGAUUAAA